rnacentral:misc_RNA from 1 species
GGGACUACAGGGGUAUCUAAUCCUGUUUGCUCCCCACGCUUUCGUGCCUCAGCGUCAAUGUCGGUCCAGGUGGCUGCCUUCGCCACGGAUGUUCCUCCCGAUAUCUACGCAUUUCACUGCUACACCGGGAAUUCCGCCACCCUCUACCACAUUCUAGAUUGCCAGUAUCCAAUGCCAUUCCCAGGUUGAGCCCGGGGCUUUCACAUCAGACUUAACAAACCGCCUACGCACGCUUUACGCCCAGUAAUUCCGAGUAACGCUUGCACCCUUCGUAUUACCGCGGCGGCUGGCACC